UUUUUUUAAUUCUUUAUUUUUGUAGUGCAUAAGCUUAUAACAGAUGGUUGUGAGGUACCCCAAAGGCAAUCCUCCACCGCAUUGUAGACAUUAGAACAUUAAGGUACAAGAUAGGUCUAGUACAUUUUUUGUGAACAGAUAGUUUAAGUAGUAAACAGUAGAGGGUUUAACAGCUAACUCUGAUUCAUAACUGAAGGUAACAUCGCUGGUAUAUCUAGUCAGCUAAUUUUUGAGCAUCAUAGAGUAACAUUCAAUCUACAAGAUAUAGGCUUAGUCUAGCUUUUAUACAAAAGUGGUUUACAAAUGGUUGAUAUAGGCUAGCAGCAGGUUUAACCCCUGGUGUGCCGCUGGUUGCAUAGUGUGAUUGUAGGCAUAGGUCGGCAACCAAACAUUUUUAAGGAAAGAGGAAUAAGACCUUAGUGGUACAUAAAAUGAUGAGGCAAUGCUAAUGUGCUUAGAUGCUUAACUCGCAAAGCUGUGAGGCGAUUGUGUCUCGUUGUAGGCGGAUAUGAGGG